GACUUUCUCCUUCUUCUCUCUGAUCUCUCAGUAUUUUCCUCUAAAUCUGACUCCAGGCUUUUAUUAUUAAGACCAAUGAGAACUGCUGUUACAGAUCUACAUCAAAAGCAUCAAGCUGAUCCACCUUGGACUCACGAAUUACCGGAACCCCGAGGGACGGGGCAGGUGGCACCAAACGUGCGGCUCAAGGUACGGAAUCUUCACCUAACGGAGACCCCCCCCACAAGGAAACCUCGGUAGUGCACACCGACAAGGAAGUUCUGCUCGCCGGAUUGAGACGGACUCUGGUCUGGGAAAAGUUCUCAUCGCUCAUGAGUGACUGAUUCCCUGAUAAAAGAUGCUGUCUUUUUGGCUACUUGUGUGUUCCCACCUUCGAUUGCCGUUGAUGCUGGAAGCCCUUAUCAGAUCUACAACUACACCUGGAUGAUCAUCAACCGAGCCAGUGAUGCUGCCAAUGCCUCCACAACUAUUGUGACCACCCCCUCCUAUUGCCCCCUGAUAGUUGACUUAUGUGCUUUAGCCUUAGGGGCCUCUCCAGACUAGGGAACCCCUGACCAUUUUCCCCCCCAGGACCUCCCUCCUCCGCUGACCUUAUUCUAUCCUUAAUUAGGCCCCUCAUCAAGCCAGCCACUCCCUUAUAGAGGACGGUUGGGUCUGCUAUUCUUCCACCCCUCCCCUUUAUCAGGGAAUUGCAGGCACUUACUAAUUCCUACCUUGCCUGUUCUACUAGAUUGACUACCUAAACUGUUACCUUUUCAAAAACUAACCAAAUUCAUUAAGUCUCAGAUUGACACCAUCCUCAAAAAACCAGUUUUGGUCCAUUACCAUCGCCUAGAGGCAUUAGAUUCUGAGCUGCCUGACGACAAUAAAAACCCCCACAGUCCUAAAAGACUGGAUUUUUCAGGCCUUAAACAUCGAACCUCCUUGGCUUUGGAGCCGUCAGUGACGGGAAUAUCGUGGUGCCGCAAGCCAGAUGCCGACCCUUCCCAGCAGCUGUAGCGUCCUCCAUGACGGGUUUAGCGUGAGACUGACCCCCAGAUGCCCACUCCAAAGCACUCCCGAGCUGCUAGCCUUAUGAAGGGUCAUGGGAGUGCUGGGGGCAGAUGCAUCUCACAUAACCUAAGACAGAGGCAC